GUCUCUUUGUAUGUUUAUAAAUAAAGAGUCGGGCCUGCUCGGUGAAUAAAUUGAUAUUUUAACAGCUGCGGUAUUUUAACUGUACUAAGGUAGCAUAAUAAUUUGCCUUAUAAUUUGAGGCUAGAAUGAAUGGUUUGACGAAGGUUAAUCUGUCUCUAUCCUAUUUAUUAGAAAUUAAUUUUUAAAGUGAAAAAGCUUGAAUUUUUUAAAGGGACGAGAAGACCCUAUUGAGCUUAUAAUUUUGUUGUUAUUUGUUUUAAAUGUGUAGGUGGCAUAUAAAUUUUAAUUGGGGUGAUUAAGGAAUAGUAUAUAAUAUAAUUAGUAACUUCCUUAGUAUAAGUAUUGUUAAAUAAAGUAACCAAUAUUAUUGCUUUUAAUAUAGUUACCAUAGGGAUAACAGCGUAAUUUACUUAGAGAGUUCUUAUUGAAAAGUAAGAUUGCGACCUCGAUGUUGGAUUAAAGUAACCUUAAGGUGCAGAAGCUUUAGAAGGUAAAUCUGUUCGAUUUUUAAAACUUUACA
rnacentral:rRNA from 1 species